rnacentral:rRNA from 1 species
UACGGAAGGCAGCAGUGGGGAAUAUUGCACAAUGGGCGCAAGCCUGAUGCAGCCAUGCCGCGUGUAUGAAAAAGGCCUUCGGGUUGUAAAGUACUUUCAGUCGUGAGGAAGGUGUUAAGGUUAAUAACCUUAGCAAUUGACGUUAGCGACAGAAGAAGCACCGGCUAACUCCGUGCCAGCAGCCGCGGUAAUACGGAGGGUGCGAGCGUUAAUCGGAAUUACUGGGCGUAAAGGGCACGCAGGCGGUUAAUUAAGUUGGAUGUGAAAUCCCCGGGGCUUAACCUGGGAAUGGCAUUCAAGACUGGUUAGCUAGAGUCUUGUAGAGGGGGUUAGAAUUCCAUGUGUAGCGGUGAAAUGCGUAGAGAUGUGGAGGAAUACCGGUGGCGAAGGCGGCCCCUGGACAAAGACUGACGCUCAUGUGCGAAAGCGUGGGGAGCAAACAGGGAUUAGAUACCCGU